rnacentral:rRNA from 3 species
GGGUUGUGAGGUUAAGCGACUAAGCGUACACGGUGGAUGCCCUGGCAGUCAGAGGCGAUGAAGGACGUGCUAAUCUGCGAAAAGCGUCGGUAAGGUGAUAUGAACCG